CAACGCAUGCGUCUUCACCGAUCUGCUGUUGUGACUCCCAAAAUAAGACAUCAAAUGACAAUGUGACACCAGCCCUCCACGGUAGUCUGCGUACAGUAACGCGUUACCGGCGAGUGUAGCGGGCUGUGCGCUCUGGAGUCUCCAUAAAAGUUAGUGCGCACGAGCUCGAGCUGUCAGACUGGGCAGAAUCGCGGCGGAGCAAAGGCAGGAGGCUGAAGUGAUUGAUCAGGAUCGAUCUCCCUCGAAGAGAUUCAUCCAUUCAUAUGAGGUGUGCGGUUUGAUCCUCUUGGUGGAGGCGCAGCAACAGGACGCAAUUAAAGCUCAGAACGCACAGUUUGAAGUGACACCUGGUUGUUUCUGGACUCUAUCGGAAUAAAACCACAGGGAGGUUUGGAUGCAGGAGAAUCUCGGCUGUGCGGUAGUGGAGGUGCCCUGUCUGCCGCUUUAACAGAAGUAGAAGAAGAUUCGUUCUUUGCUGUUUGAUUUUAGGCGGAAAAAAAGCCACUACCGUUUUGUACUCUCCAAUCCAUGCAGCAAAUGUCUCCACAUCACAGAAACAACACUGGAUUGUAGCAGCAGCAGCCCCACAGAUGGUUUGAGAGGAGGUUAAGGUGCGGGAAGGGAGUGGGACAAUUACAGGAUGAGUGAGCGAUACUCGCAGAUCGGAAGUAAAGGGGCUCUACUUGUAAUGGUGCUUGUGAUUACCUUCUGGGAGAUGACUGUACCAACAGAAGGAGCAACAGCAGCGCAUCAUGUCCGGACAGGAACCUGUGAGGUGGUGGCGUUGCAUCGCUGCUGCAACAAGAACAAAAUCGAGGAGCGGUCACAAACUGUGAAGUGCUCCUGCUUCCCCGGGCAAGUGGCCGGCACCACCAGAGCCGCCCCGUCGUGUGUAGAUGCUUCAAUCGUGGAGCAGAAGUGGUGGUGUCAGAUGCACCCGUGCCUUGACGGGGAGGAAUGCAAAGUCCUUCCCGACCUGAAAGGCUGGAGCUGUGCUACAGGGAACAAGAUCAAAACUACAAAGGUAAGUUUAAGAAACAAAACUAUUGUCACUUUCAGGGCAGGUCCAUAUUCUGAGCUCUUAAAUCUGACCCAGCAUAUUUCAACUCUCAAGGUUAACAGGCUGCGGCUUCCGUUACAUUCUCCUGCCCCUGCCCUCACCUAAAAACAGCUAAUGUUUGCAGUCUUUGCCUGGAUCCCUGGGGGCCUGUAAUCAAUGGGCUGCCAUGUCUCCUUAGCACUUCCAGGCCACUCUGAGCACCCAAACUGGCCAAUUACUCACUCCAAUUACCUGCUUUUAACAUUGUAACACGACGCCUGUAUCCUUCACUGUUAUAUGACGACCCGUUGACUUCGGUUCUGUCUCUCUCCAUGUACUUAAUUAUUUAAACUGCCCGCAAACACCUGCCUGGAGCCGAAAGCCUGGAGCCUGGGGCUAUUGAUUCAGGGACUUGUCGGGACCUCAAAAUGAGAUACAUAUGAUGAUUUUUUCUUUUAACGGUUGAGGGGUUUGGAGACCAAUAUCUGGUGAUGUCUGGAAAUAGAUUGCGGUAGUUUUCAGACCUAAAAGUUAAACUUCUCUUUUCUUUGUUUGUCUUCUUAACAUGUGUGACUGGAAAGAUUUCUGCUGACAGAGACCAGCUUUGGUAACGACAGAUGCUUCACUGUGGAGUACAGGAGAACCAACAAUUCUGCUUUGGGAGAGGAGAGUAAUGCAAAGGACCUUUCUGUAAAUAAAGACUUCCUUUCUUCUGGGCUACGAUUAAUCUUUGGAAAAACCUGAAUGCUUCUUUUUGGACUCCAUGGACAUCGAAAAGAGGAUUGCAUUCUAAUGAAAGUACUGAACGUUCAGAACUUCUUUCCAAGGACUCCCUAUGAUAAGCCUUACAGGACUGCAGGAUUCAUUCUGGACAUUGUACUGCAUUAAGUGGAAGACAAUGUACUUCACCUAUAUGUAAAUUUUAAGAGCAUUUAAAUUCUGAACAGAGGAUUCUUCGUCACAAGAAGAGCAGGUCAAUUUGAUGUAAUACACAAUACAAAAUGGUUUAGUUUUAUCACUCAAGGAUUUCUCCUCUACAGUUUCAAAGGUGCAGAUAAAGAUGAAGUUAUGUGUCCGAGUAGCAGAUAUUCAGGGUGAUUUUCAAAGAAAUACACAAACACAUUCAUCACUGCUCCUUUCAUACUGUGAGCUGAUUCCCAAAGUGGAAACCCUGAUACAAUUACAAACCCUGCAUAAACCUACUAAACCAGUUAUCAUUGUAUUAAGGACUCCAAGCCAGAUAUUGUUGACAACAUAAGGACUACUGAGCUACACCAAAUAUAUAAAAAAGUUCUUAACUCGUCAAACAGCUUUUGACAGAAAGUUGAAUCCAGAUGUGGUUUAUUUUUUUCCCUCUGAAAAUCAUUCACUCUGUCAUUUCCCGCUUCUUGUGCCAGAUUUUGUUUUUGUAUCACAGCUCUGGAGUUCAGAUUCUUGACAGUGGCAGUGUAAAUUAAACGCACAGCAUCUGGCUGCCAGCUGGAUGAUGACAAAACUGUUUCCAAAAAUUGUCUCUGACUAGUUACUCAAGUAAGAUCACCUUCUAGUAGGUAUCGCUGGCACAUCCUUCGUCUGUGUAAGUGAUGACAGUAAUAAACUAUGGUUGUGUA